rnacentral:rRNA from 1 species
GAUGAACGCUGGCGGCGUGCCUAAUACAUGCAAGUCGAGCGAACGGACGAGAAGCUUGCUUCUCUGAUGUUAGCGGCGGACGGGUGAGUAACACGUGGAUAACCUACCUAUAAGACUGGGAUAACUUCGUGAAACCGGAGCUAAUACCGGAUGAUAUUUUGAACCGCAUGGUUCAAAAGUGAAAGACGGUCUUGCUGUCACUUAUAGAUGGAUCCGCGCUGCAUUAGCUAGUUGGUAAGGUAACGGCUUACCAAGGCAACGAUGCAUAGACGACCUGAGAGGGUGAUCGGCCACACUGGAACUGAGACACGGUCCAGACUCCUACGGGAGGCAGCAGUAGGGAAUCUUCCGCAAUGGGCGAAAGCCUGACGGAGCAACGCCGCGUGAGUGAUGAAGGUCUUCGGACCGUAAAACUCUGUUAUUAGGGAAGAACAUAUGUGUAAGUAACUGUGCACAUCUUGACGGUACCUAAUCAGAAAGCCACGGCUAACUACGUG